rnacentral:misc_RNA from 1 species
UACUUAUCACACUGGAUUGUAACUUUUGGUGUACUUGCUUGCUACCUCUACCAGACUGGGAAUUUCUUGAAGGCAGAACAUAUCUUUUCCUUGGUAUCCCCAGAGCACAGCACAUUGCCUGAUAUGGACUGAGUAGACAGACAUAUUUUAGAGAGGACCACGUAAUUCUAUGUCUAGGAGGUAAAAAAUAUCAAAGAAGGUGAAAUGAAAAAGCUUAAAUAAUAUGAAUCUGGUCAGAGGUCCUAACUUCAUCAUUUAUAGCAAUAAUCUCACCAAUACAGCUACACUGUUAAUUUUCUCAGUUAUGUAAAUUGGCAUAUUAUGUAGUAUCACCUCAAUUACGGAACUCUAAAAAUCACAAAUGUCUUCUCUCUGAAAC